rnacentral:lncRNA from 1 species
UUCACAUACCGCAUAUAAUUACACUCGAUAGCAUUGCCAUUCACAAAUCCCACUCAUCAAUCUCAUUACUCACACAAACGCGGAAGGAGCUUUGAUGAGCCAUGGCCCAAUAUGAUCAACAACAUACAUUUCCUGCCGGAGGAGUUGUGGCUCCUUCGACAGGAUAUGUAAUGGUACCUCCACCAAUGGGCUAUCCGACAAGGGACACCAACCCCAAAGACCCCUUCACAACCACUGUCGAGACAACAAGUAGAGGCGACGGCUUCUUGAAAGGAUGAUAAUCAUCUCCACUUAACUAGAAUGGUAUGUACAAAUUGAGGAUUGAUAGACUAACAUGGAUACUUGAUGUUUUGCAGGAUGGUAAACAUCUCCACUUAACUAGAAUGGUAUGUACAAAUUGAGGAUUGAUAGACUAACAUGUAUACUUGAUGUUUUGCAGUAUGGCCGGACUCUGUUGCUGCUGGUGCCUCGAUUGCUGUUUCUGAUCAAUCACAUACAUACUUAUUCAUUCAUUUUUUAUUUUUAUUUUAGAGUUUAUGUUUAUUGGAUUAUUUGAUUGAUAUGCAACCUAUGCUACUGCUGCUUUGUUCAACACAGAUUUUAAAUGUAUUGUAUUUACCAAUAUCCUAAUUAUUCCCUGUUGAUCAAUUCUCGGACGAAACUUAUACAUACAAAUUAAUCAUGUUGGAAGAAGCACAAAUUAAAACAAACAUUUAACAAUUUCUCCCAAGCCACUCUAUC